rnacentral:tRNA from 1 species
GCGCCUGUAGCUCAGUGGAUAGAGCGUCUGCCUCCGGAGCAGAAGGUCGGGGGUUCGAAUCCCUUCAGGCGCACC